rnacentral:misc_RNA from 1 species
GAUCAGCUAAAGUGGUCAUGCUUAACAAUCAAGAAACAAGAAUCAAUCAGUAUUAUGAUCUACUUGUUGGGGAAAAAUAUUGCUUACAGCGCCUUCUCGAAAAAAGAUAGUUAAGUUGCUCAUAAAUUGUUCAACAUCUUAAGAAUGAAUAAUAAAUGUGGCAAGGCUGUCAGUUGGGAUGGCAAUUAAAUAGCAUAAUUUUCCGUAGGUAAAUAAGAUAUGAACAAAAGUUGCUUGGGCGUUUUAAACCAGACAUUGAAGUCUGUUUAUCAUAAUAUAUACAUUUUGAAUAAUAUAUUAGGGUCAAG